CGGGGAGCGCCGGAGUUGGAGAGCCGGGGCGGUCUGUAACACCGUUGCCAUUGUGCUGAGUGGGUCCGAAUCCCACCUCCCCGACCA
rnacentral:tRNA from 1 species